AGAGUUUGAUCCUGGCUCAGAAUGAACGCUGGCGGCGUGCCUAACACAUGCAAGUCGAACGAGAAAGUCCGCAAGGAUGAGUACAGUGGCGCACGGGUGAGUAAUGCGCAGGAAAUUGCCCUUUAGUGGAGAAUACCUUCGAGAAAUCGGAGUUAAUACUGCAUAAGCCGGAAACGGGAAAGGUGGCCUCAAGCUACCGCUGAAGGAUGUGCCUGCGUCCUAUUAGUUAGUUGGUGGGGUAAUGGCCUACCAAGACAGAGAUGGGUAGCCGACCUGAGAGGGUGAUCGGCCACACUGGAACUGAGACACGGUCCAGACUCCUACGGGAGGCAGCAGUGGGGAAUAUUGCACAAUGGGCGAAAGCCUGAUGCAGCGACGCCGCGUGGAGGAUGAAGGUUUUAGGAUUGUAAACUCCUGUUAAGUGGGAAGAAAGACCGCUUUCUAAUAAAAAGCGGGGAUGACGGUACCACUAGAGAAAGCACCGGCAAACUUCGUGCCAGCAGCCGCGGUAAUACGAAGGGUGCGAGCGUUAUUCGGAAUAACUGGGCGUAAAGAGUUUGAAGGCGGCUUUUUAAGUCAGCUGUUAAAUCCCCCGGCUUAACCGGGGAUAUGCAGUUGAUACUGGAGAGCUAGAGUGUGGGAGAGAAGGGUAGAAUUCUCGGAGUAGCGGUAAAAUGCGUAGAUCUCGAGAGGAAUACCGGUUGCGAAGGCGGCCCUUUAGCCCAUUACUGACGCUCAAGAACGAAAGCGUGGGGAGCAAACAGGAUUAGAUACCCUGGUAGUCCACGCCGUAAACGAUGAUCACUAGAUGUGGGUUCUGCUUAGCAGGGAUCUGUGUCGUAGCUAACGCGUUAAGUGAUCCGCCUGAGGAGUACGGUCGCAAGAUUAAAACUCAAAGAAAUUGACGGGGGUCCGCACAAGCGGUGGAACAUGUGGUUCAAUUCGACACUACGCGAGGAACCUUACCUGGGCUUGACAUGUAACUGCUACUGAUAGAAACAUUGGGUUCUGUCGAAAGACAGACGGUUACACAGGUGCUGCAUGGCUGUCGUCAGCUCGUGUCGUGAGACGUCGGGUUAAGUCCUUGAACGAGCGCAACCCCUGCCGUUAGUUGCUUGGCGUGAGCCGGCACUCUAGCGGGACUGCCGUGGAAACGCGGAGGAAGGUGGGGAUGACGUCAAGUCCUCAUGGCCCUUAUGCCCAGGGCUACACACGUGUUACAAUGGCGAGCUACAAAGGGAUGCGAAGUCGCGAGAUGGAGCAAAUCCUGUAAAACUCGUCUAAGUUCAGAUUGAAGUCUGCAACUCGACUUCAUGAAGCUGAAAUCGCUAGUAAUCGUAUAUCAGAACGAUACGGUGAAUACGUUCUCGGACCUUGUACACACCGCCCGUCACGCCAUGAGAGCCGUCCGCACCCGAAAUUAUUUUAGCUAACCGAAUAGGAGGCGGAUAAUGAAGGUGAGGAGGGUGAUUGGGGCG
rnacentral:rRNA from 1 species